CAAAACGUAGCUUAACUCAUUAAAGCACCUUGCUUACACCAAGAAAAUAUCUGUUAGAGCCAGAUCGUUAUGA
rnacentral:tRNA from 1 species